rnacentral:lncRNA from 10 species
GUAGGACCAGAUAAGAGAAUAAAAGCAGGCUGCCCAAGCCAGCAUUGGCAACCCGUUCGGGUCCCCUUCCACGGUGUGGAAGGUUUGUUCUUUCGCUCUUUGCAAUAAAUCUUGCUACUGCUUACUCUUUGGGUCCACGCUGCUUUUAUGAGCUUUAACACUCACCGCGAAGAUCUGCAGCUUCACUCCUGAGCCCAGCGAGAUCAUGAACCCACCAUGAGGAACGAACAACUCCAGACGCCCUGCUUUAAGAGCUGUAACACUCACCGCGAGGGUCUGCAGCUUCAUUCUUGAAGUCAGUAAGACCAAGAACCCACCAAUUCCGGACACAAUAAUAGCCAUCCUAACAGGGCUGCCCCUUAUGAGAAGAGGAGAGGAUAUGGUGUUACAUAGAAAAAGGGGUGAUGUGAAGAUGGACACUGAGAUUGGAAUGAUUUCUCUAGAAGCCAAAGAAAUCUGUGGACACAAGAACCUGGAAGAGGCAAGGAAGGAUUUUCUCCUAAAGCCUUCAGUGGAAGCAGGCCCUGCUGGCACUUUGAUUUCAGAUUUCUAACCUUUGGAACUACAAGAGAAUAAAUUUCUGUUGUUUGAGACACUAAAUUUGUGGUAAUUGAUGAGGGCUGCCCUAAGAAACUGAUGCACACACCAGUCACUUCUGUUACUGUCAGUUUUACAUUUUUAGUUUGUGUCAUAUUCCUUUCUUGCCUUCAUUUUCUGACCCGAUGUGGAUUGUAUUAGAUUCCCAUGGCUACUGUAAUAAAUCACUACAUGCUUGGUGGAUUAAACAAUGUUCAUUUAUUCUUACAGGUUUUGAGGCCAAAAGUCUGAAAUCAAAUUUACUGGGCCAAAAUCCAGGUGUUUCCAGGACUGUAUUUCUUCUGGAGGCUGUAGGGGAAAAUCUCUUCUCUUUUCUUUCUCAACUUCUAGAGGUCACCUACUUUCCUUAGCUCAUGGCCCCUUCCUUCCUUCACUCCAAUCUCUCACUUCUGUCAUCACAUCUCCUACUUUUAUAUCAGAUUUUCCUCUGUGUCUGUCUUACAAGAAUGCUUGUGAUUUAGGUUCAAGCACAUAAUCAGGAUAAUUUCUCCAUCUCAAAAUCCUUAACUUGGUCACACUACAAGGUCCACAGGUUCUAGGUCUUAGGACAUGGAUGUCUUUGGGGGCCAUUAUUCAGCCUACCACAGAGGCUAACAUUUUAAACUUUAAUUUGGGUCCUGUUUCAGAUUAUCUAUAUUCAUUCUAUUCUCUUAAUUGUAUGAAAUCCCAAUACCCUAACCUGUUGACCUGAAAAAACUGAUAGAGAAACCAAAUCAACGAAAUAGAUGAUAAACAGGAUUUAAAUACAUACACAAGGCACUGUGCUCACUAAGCUCCACUUCAAGCCCAGGUUAAACACAGAGUCCAUGGGACAUGAGCCCAGUUGACUCCCCAGGGCCUUAAGACAAAGAGACAAGGAUAAAUAUUUGUACCAAAACCGUCCCACGGUGAUGGUAUAGGUGCUCCCUAUGGGCAAAUUCAAAAACUGUUUUGGAAAAUGGUGAGUCCUAACAUGAAGGUAUUCAAUUAAUUUAGGAAUAAAAUUUAAAAGGUGAAAUAGAAUGUAUUUGGAAUUAAGAAGCAAAAAUGUAAUCAACUAUGUCAGACUGCGUGAGGAAGUGUAGGUAAAGAGAAAAAGGAAGAUAAGCUUAGAGUUUUGAAAUACAAACCCAAAGAUCUUGGGGAAAGGGACCUUUUCAGGGUUAUGGCUUCCUAAUUUUUGCUUAUUGAUAUUAACCCAUUAGAGUAUUUUUUUUGAAGAAGAAGAAGAACACAUGAGAUUUUCAAAGCCCAAUGCUAUUGAGCAUACAAACUACAUAAUAAACUACUACCCAAGUUUGAGGUUUUAUUUUUUGUUCAUUUGUUUGUUUGUUUUUUGUCAGAGUCUCACUCAGUCGCCAGGCUAGAGUUUAGUGGCAAAAUCUCAGCUCACUGCAACCUCCGCCUCUCAGGUUCAAGUGAUUCUCCUGCCUCAGCCUCCCAAGCAGCUGGGACUACAGGCGAGUGCCAC